GGGGAGCCAGCACAGCCACCACACAGAAGAAACCUUCCAUCAGUAUCACCACUGAAUCACUAAAGAGCCUCAUCCCCGACAUCAAACCCCUGGCGGGGCAGGAGGCUGUUGUGGAUCUUCAUGCUGAUGACUCUCGCAUCUCUGAGGAUGAGACAGAGCGUAAUGGCGAUGAUGGGACCCAUGACAAGGGGCUGAAAAUAUGCCGGACAGUCACUCAGGUAGUACCUGCAGAGGGCCAGGAGAAUGGGCAGAGGGAAGAAGAGGAAGAAGAGAAGGAACCUGAAGCAGAACCUCCUGUACCUCCCCAGGUGUCAGUAGAGGUGGCCUUGCCCCCACCUGCAGAGCAUGAAGUAAAGAAAGGUGAGUGACAUAUUGUGAGAGAAAUGUAAUGCGGCUCCCUGAAUUCUCAGAGCACCUCAUUUGGAUCGCUGAAAGCUUUGAAUGUUUCCUGCCUUUCAUUAUAUUUUUUCGUAUAUCAUAUCUUUCUCCUACAUAUUAAGUAAGCUACUUGAGGGCCAGAUUUGACUCUGUUUAAUCUUUGAAUCUCCAUGAUGAUGAGGUUAGCCUAGCACAGUACUUUGCAGAUUAUAGGUGCUCUCCACGUUUAGAUUAAGGAGUGGCUGCUUGGUAUAAAAGAAAGGGAACCGUGAGAGUUACAUUGAGGGUGAAAAGAGCCAGUAUUGCUUCCUACCAAAAGCUGUUCUUGUGGUCUUCUUGAUAGUGACUUUAGGAGAUACCUUAACUCGACGUUCCAUU
rnacentral:sRNA from 1 species